UACGGAGGAUGCAAGUGUUAUCCGGAAUCACUGGGCGUAAAGCGUCUGUAGGUUGUUUAGUAAGUCAACUGUUAAACCUUGAAGCUCAACUUCAAAAUCGCAGUCGAAACUAUUAGACUAGAGUAUAGUAGAGGUAAAGGGAAUUUCCAGUGGAGCGGUGAAAUGCGUAGAUAUUGGAAAGGACACCGAUGGCGAAAGCACUUUACUGGGCUAUUACUAACACUCAGAGACGAAAGCUAGGGUAGCAAAUGGG
rnacentral:rRNA from 1 species